rnacentral:ncRNA from 1 species
AAAAAGUUUAAUUUUAGCUUAUUUAUUUUGUUUAUUAUUAUUUUACAUGUAAAAUUUUGUUAAAAAAAAAAAAUUCAGUAAUUAUUUUUAUGAAAUUAUUAAUUUAAUUUUAGUAAUUUAUUAGAGAUCUAAUAAAAUUUGUGCCAGCAAUUGCGGUUAAACAAAUAGAUCAAUUAAAUAUUUUUAGUUAUAAUAAAUUAUUUAUUUUUUUUCAUUAAAAUUUUAAGGUGAAAUUUAAAUUUUAAUUUUAUUUUUUUGGUAAUGAUUUAGAAAAGUUGUUUUAAAAACUAGGAUUAGAUACCCUAUUAUUACAAUUGUAAAAUAUAAUUCUUGGUUAGUAGUAGUUAUGUUCUUUAAAACUAAAAAAUUUGGCGGUAUUUUAGUCAGUUCAGAGGAACCUGUCCUGUAAUUGAUAGUCCACGAUAUUCCUUACUUAUUCUUUUAGCUUGUAUAUCGUUGUUAAUGAAUUUCUUUUUAGGGCUAAUUUUCUUUUAUUUUUAUGUUAAUUAAUUUCAGAUCAAGGUGCAGCUUAUGAGUAAGUAGAGAUGGGUUACAUUAUUUUUAUUUUUGGUUAUUAAAUUUAAAUUUUUAGUAUAAAAUGGAUUUGACAGUAAUUAUAUUUAUUUAACUAUGAUGAUUAUUGUUCUGAAAUAUGUACAUAUUGCCCGUCGCUCUCAAUUAAUUUGAGAUAAGUCGUAACAAAGUAGAUGUACUGGAAAGUGUAUCUAGAAUA